rnacentral:lncRNA from 1 species
GGCUUGACAUGGUUCCUGUGUAUAUAGCUAACACUGAUACAGUGUUUGCUUAUAUUUGUUUUCCUCAUUAAUAUUCUUUCUUAUUUGAGAUUUCCCAGAGAUUCUGUACUCAUUUAAAAAUAACUCUUUUUAUGGCUUUAGGCUCAUCAGUAGUGACUUAAGAAUUCUUACUGGGGGGAAGAAACUUUUGUUUGGAUAGUUUUUUCUGAAUUCCAUUCCCUUGCCUUUGGUGAGGGGAGUGCCAGGGAGAGUGCAGUACAGAGUCAGAAGUCAGAGGGCUAACAGAGAUGUGUAGGCACAGGCACCAGCGGAGUUACUUACUGCCUGGCACAUGGUUGGGCCCUUGGGAUUAUUUGAUGAAGAAUCAAUGAUUAUUCCCUUGGGUCAAUUUA